rnacentral:tRNA from 1 species
GUUAUUUUGGCAGAAUAGUGCGUUAGAUUUAGAAUCUUAGUAUGUAAUUCAAUUACAAAUAAUA